UUAUAACCUGAUAGGGCAUGAAAGAAAUGAAGAAUCCGUAACUGGAUUUAGAUCAAUGUCCUAUCGUCCGUGUUGAAGAACGGGCCAGGGAGUUCAAACUAUCGGCGAGGUUAAUCCUUAAAGAAGGAGUAGCCGUAGCGAAAGCAAAAUGCUCGCAACCUUUUGGUGAGGAGCUAGGUGUGAUCGCCUGGAGUCGAUGGUGAGAUACCCGAAGCCGGUCGAUCUAGACCUGGGCAGGUCGAAGCCCAACGAAAGUUGGGUGGAGGACCGACCCGGUUCUGAUGUGCAACUCGUUCGGUUGACCUGGGUCUAGGGGUGAAAGGCCAAUCUAGGCCGGCAAUAGCGGGUUCCCCUCGAGACUACCCGCAGGUAGACCUCCGCAGAGGAUGUAUACGGGGUAGAGCCACCGAUGGAGAAGUUUAGAACCGGAAGGUUCGGCUUUUCUUUCGAACUCCGAACCUGUAAUACUCCUAAGAAGCGGGGAGCUAGGGUUGUCGGGAUAAGCUUGACACCCGAGAAGACAACAAUCUAGACAGGGGUUAAGGUCCCUAAAUACAGGCUAAGUGUCAUGAAAAGGGCGUCUAGGACCUAAGACAGCGGGGAGGUUGGCUUAGAAGCAGCCACCCUUUAAAGAGUGCGUAACAGCUCACCCGCCGAGGUUUUAGGCCCCGAAGAUGGACGGGACUAAAGCCUGUUACCGAGACCUCUGGACACUCGAAAGAGUGAUUCGGUAGGGGGGCGUGCCGCUGGGGCAGAAGUCUCUUCGUGAGAAGGGAUGGACCCAACGGUAACGCGGAUCCUGGCGUAAGUAGCAGCAAAGUGCCGUUGAAAUCGGCAUCGCCGAAGGGGCUAAGGGUUCCUUGGCAAUGUUCGUCAGCCAAGGGUUAGCCGGUCCUAAGCACAAUCUUAACAGGAACUGUGCGAAAGGGAAGCUGGUUAAUAUUCCAGCGCCAGGGAUGUUUCGCCCAUGAAAUGACAUCUCGGGAUAAGCGGAUGAUUCCAGUCAGAAUCACCGGUGUCUCGAACUCUGGGGAGUAUCGUAAUGAUGAGAACCAGGGGAAGAGAUACAGGGCCUGCCUAUGGUAGGUUCCGCUGAGUCCGGGGAUCCAUGAAAAGUUUCAUGGGGUCAAGUCCCUGUCCGUACCAAGAUCCGACACAGGUGCCCCUGGGUGAGAAGCCCAAGGCGAGUGGGAACAAUCGACCCGAGGGAACUCGGCAAAAUGGCCCUGUACCUUCGGAAGAAGGGGUGCCUACUCCGGGAAAGAGUAGGUCGCAGUGGCUAGGGGACUCCGACUGUUUAACAAAAACACAGGUGGCUGCCAGACCGUAAGGUUGAGUAUAGCCGCUGAAGCCUGCCCAGUGCCGGUACCUGAAAGCCCCGUACAAGGGGAAGAAGGGCCGGUAAACGGCGGGGGUAACUAUGACCCUCUUAAGGUAGCGUAAUACCUAGCCGCUUAAUUGGCGGCUUGCAUGAAGGCCCAACGAGGGUCCCACUGUCCCCGGGUUGAGUCCCGUGAAAUCGAUGUAAUGGUGCACAAUCCAAUCUCUCCCAUUUGAAAGCGAAGUCCCUGUGGAGCUUUACUGCAGCCUGUGGUUGCGAUAUGACUUCGAUUGUGUAGGGUAGGCGGGAGCUGUCGAGGCCUGGGUCCUAGCUCAGGUGGAGGCGUCGAUGAAACACCGCCCUUUUGGGGUUAUAUUGCUCACUCCUUCGGGAGGACAGCUAUAGGUGGGCAGUUUGGGUGGGGCGCCACGCCCUUGAUAAGUAAACAAGGGCCUCCAAAGGUAGGCUCAGGAGGGUCAGAAAUCCUCCGUUGAGUAU
rnacentral:rRNA from 1 species